rnacentral:rRNA from 1 species
AGCCGUCUCGCGACUGCAUCUUUAUUAGAGUUGAUCAUGGCUCAGAUUGAUACGCUGGCGGCAGGCCUAACACAUGCAAGUCGAGCGGAUGACGGGAGCUUGCUCCUUGAUUCAGCGGCGGACGGGUGAGUAAUGCCUAGGAAUCUGCCUGGUAGUGGGGGACAACGUUUCGAAAGGAACGCUAAUACCGCAUACGUCCUACGGGAGAAAGCAGGGGACCUUCGGGCCUUGCGCUAUCAGAUGAGCCUAGGUCGGAUUAGCUAGUUGGUGAGGUAAUGGCUCACCAAGGCGACGAUCCGUAACUGGUCUGAGAGGAUGAUCAGUCACACUGGAACUGAGACACGGUCCAGACUCCUACGGGAGGCAGCAGUGGGGAAUAUUGGACAAUGGGCGAAAGCCUGAUCCAGCCAUGCCGCGUGUGUGAAGAAGGUCUUCGGAUUGUAAAGCACUUUAAGUUGGGAGGAAGGGCAGUAAGUUAAUACCUUGCUGUUUUGACGUUACCGACAGAAUAAGCACCGGCU